UGGGGAAUCUUGGACAAUGGGCGAAAGCCUGAUCCAGCCAUGCCGCGUGUGUGAAGAAGGUCUUCGGAUUGUAAAGCACUUUAAGUUGGGAGGAAGGGCAGUAAGCGAAUACCUUGCUGUUUUGACGUUACCGACAGAAUAAGCACCGGCUAACUCUGUGCCAGCAGCCGCGGUAAUACAGAGGGUGCAAGCGUUCAUCGGAAUUACUGGGCGUAAAGCGCGCGUAGGUGGUUCGUUAAGUUGAAUGUGAAAGACCCGGGCUCAACCUGGGAACUGCAUCCAAAACUGGCGAGCUAGCGUAGGGCAGAGGGUGGUGGAAUUUCCUGUGUAGCGGUGAAAUGCGUAGAUAUAGGAAGGAACACCAGUGGCGAAGACGACCACCUGGGCUCAUACUGACACUGAGGUGCGAAAGCGUGGGGAGCAAACAGG
rnacentral:rRNA from 1 species